rnacentral:rRNA from 1 species
GAGCGGCGAACGGGUGAGUAACACGUGGGUGAUCUGCCCUGCACUUCGGGAUAAGCCUGGGAAACUGGGUCUAAUACCGGAUAUGACCUCCUGUCGCAUGGUGGGUGGUGGAAAGAUUUAUCGGUGCAGGAUGGGCCCGCGGCCUAUCAGCUUGUUGGUGGGGUAAUGGCCUACCAAGGCGACGACGGGUAGCCGACCUGAGAGGGUGACCGGCCACACUGGGACUGAGACACGGCCCAGACUCCUACGGGAGGCAGCAGUGGGGAAUAUUGCACAAUGGGCGAAAGCCUGAUGCAGCGACGCCGCGUGAGGGAUGACGGCCUUCGGGUUGUAAACCUCUUUCAGCAGGGACGAAGCGCAAGUGACGGUACCUGCAGAAGAAGCACCGGCUAACUACGUGCCAGCAGCCGCGGUAAUACGUAGGGUGCAAGCGUUGUCCGGAAUUACUGGGCGUAAAGAGUUCGUAGGCGGUUUGUCGCGUCGUUUGUGAAAACCAGCAGCUCAACUGCUGGCUUGCAGGCGAUACGGGCAGACUUGAGUACUGCAGGGGAGACUGGAAUUCCUGGUGUAGCGGUGAAAUGCGCAGAUAUCAGGAGGAACACCGGUGGCGAAGGCGGGUCUCUGGGCAGUAACUGACGCUG